rnacentral:rRNA from 1 species
GUCGAGCGGAUGAAGGGAGCUUGCUCCAGGAUUCAGCGGCGGACGGGUGAGUAAUGCCUAGGAAUCUGCCUGGUAGUGGGGGAUAACGUCCGGAAACGGGCGCUAAUACCGCAUACGUCCUGAGGGAGAAAGUGGGGGAUCUUCGGACCUCACGCUAUCAGAUGAGCCUAGGUCGGAUUAGCUAGUUGGUGGGGUAAAGGCCUACCAAGGCGACGAUCCGUAACUGGUCUGAGAGGAUGAUCAGUCACACUGGAACUGAGACACGGUCCAGACUCCUACGGGAGGCAGCAGUGGGGAAUAUUGGACAAUGGGCGAAAGCCUGAUCCAGCCAUGCCGCGUGUGUGAAGAAGGUCUUCGGAUUGUAAAGCACUUUAAGUUGGGAGGAAGGGCAGUAAGUUAAUACCUUGCUGUUUUGACGUUACCAACAGAAUAAGCACCGGC